rnacentral:rRNA from 1 species
CACGGGUGAGUAACACGUAUCCAACCUGCCGUCUACUCUUGGCCAGCUCUGAAAGGAAGAUUAAUCCAGGAUGGCAUCAUGAGUUCACAUGUCCGCAUGAUUAAAGGUAUUUUCCGGUAGACGAUGGGGAUGCGUUCCAUUAGAUAGUAGGCGGGGUAACGGCCCACCUAGUCAACGAUGGAUAGGGGUUCUGAGAGGAAGGUCCCCCACAUUGGAACUGAGACACGGUCCAA